UACGCAGGUCUCAAGCGUUGUUCGGAUUCAUUGGGCGUAAAGGGUGCGUAGGCGGCGCGGUAAGUCGGGUGUGAAAUCUUGGAGCUUAACUCCGAAACUGCAUUCGAUACUGCCGUGCUUGAGGACUGGAGAGGAGACUGGAAUUUACGGUGUAGCGGUGAAAUGCGUAGAUAUCGUAAGGAAGACCAGUGGCGAAGGCGGGUCUCUGGACAGUUCCUGACGCUGAAGCACGAAGGCCAGGGGAGCAAACGGG
rnacentral:rRNA from 1 species